ACUGAAUAGAUACCCAGGUAGUCCACGCCGUAAACGAUGAUCACUCGCUGUUGGCGAUACACAGUCAGCGGCUAAGCAAAAGCAUUAAGUGAUCCACCUGGGGAGUACGGCCGCAAGGCUGAAACUCAAAGGAAUUGACGGGGGCCCGCACAAGCGGAGGAAACAUGUGGUUUAAUUCGAUGAUACGCGAGGAACCUUACCUGGGCUUAAAUGUAGAGUGCAUUGGUGAGAAAUCAUCAUUUUCUUCGGAACUCUCUGCAAGGUGCUGCAUGGUUGUCGUCAGCUCGUGCCGUGAGGUGUCGGGUUUAAGUCCCAUAACGAGCGCAACCCUUAUCGUUAGUUGCCAGCGGGUAAUGCCGGGGACUCUAGCGAAACUGCCGGUGUAAACCGAGAGGAAGGUGGGGAUGACGUCAAAUCAGCACGGCCCUUAUGUCCAGGGCUACACACGUGUUACAAUGGCCGGUACAGAGGGCAGCUACCUGGAGACAGGAUGCGAAUCUCGAAAGCCGGUCUCAGUUCGGAUCGGA
rnacentral:rRNA from 1 species